UUUAGCAGUCAGACACAAGAUGAGCUAGUCUUGGCUUUUGGAAAUGCUUAAGUGUCGUUUCAGCUGACUGGAGACAGCAAGAGUACUCUACACGGUUUCCCCAAAGCCUAAUCUCACAGGAAUGACAACUUUGCAUUUGUUUCAAAAUGAAGAAAGAGAGAAAUUAAUUUCCUUUUGAGCAGUACAUCAUAGGAAAGAUUUGGAACAACUAGAGUCUGCUCAGGAAAGAACAUCGAGGACAUUGAGAGAUUUCUAAAGCUUCACCUCUGAGGAAGAGUUAAGGGAGACGGAGACGUUCAGACUGAAAACCCUACACAACUUGUGCAAGUAGUAUUGUUUUGUUUUUUUUUAAAGUAGGUAUUGCUUUGAAAGCAACAUUCAACUCG
rnacentral:lncRNA from 1 species